rnacentral:rRNA from 1 species
AGUGAACGCUGGCGGUAGGCCUAACACAUGCAAGUCGAACGGCAGCACAGUAAGAGCUUGCUCUUACGGGUGGCGAGUGGCGGACGGGUGAGGAAUACAUCGGAAUCUACUUUUUCGUGGGGGAUAACGUAGGGAAACUUACGCUAAUACCGCAUACGACCUACGGGUGAAAGCAGGGGAUCUUCGGACCUUGCGCGAUUGAAUGAGCCGAUGUCGGAUUAGCUAGUUGGCGGGGUAAAGGCCCACCAAGGCGACGAUCCGUAGCUGGUCUGAGAGGAGGAUGAGCCACAGUGGAACUGAGACACGGUCCAGACUCCUACGGGAGGCAGCAGUGGGGAAGAUUGGACAAUGGGCGCAAGCCUGAUCCAGCCAUACCGCGUGGGUGAAGAAGGCCUUCGGGUGGUAAAGCCCUUUUGUUGGGAAAGAAAAGCAGCAGGUUAAGACCCCGCUGUUCUGACGGUACCCAAAGAAUAAACACCGGCUAACUUCGU